AGUGAACGCUGGCGGUAUGCCUAACACAUGCAAGUCGAACGGCAGCACAGUAAGAUCUUGCUCUUACGGGUGGCGAGUGGCGGACGGGUGGGGAAUACAUCGGAAUCUACUUUUUCGUGGGGGAUAACGUAGGGAAACUUACGCUAAUACCGCAUACGACCUACGGGUGAAAGCAGGGGAUCUUCGGACCUUGCGCGAUUGAAUGAGCCGAUGUCGGAUUAGCUAGUUGGCUGGGUAAAGGCCCACCAAGGCGACGAUCCGUAGCUGGUCUGAGAGGAUGAUCAGCCACACUGGAACUGAGACACGGUCCAGACUCCUACGGGAGGCAGCAGUGGGGAAUAUUGGACAAUGGGCGCAAGCCUGAUCCAGCCAUACCGCGUGAGUGAAGAAGGCCUUCGGGUUGUAAAGCCCUUUUGUUGGGAAAGAAAAGAAGCAGGUUAAUACCCCGCUGUUCUGACGGUACCCAAAGAAUAAGCACCGGCUAACUUCGUG
rnacentral:rRNA from 1 species